AGUGGGUUAGUAUAACAAUACCACUGACUUAGGAUCAGUAAAUAAGUACUCAACCACUUACCCA
rnacentral:tRNA from 1 species